UACGGAGGGUGCAAGCGUUAUCCGGAUUCACUGGGUUUAAAGGGUGCGUAGGUGGGCAGGUAAGUCAGUGGUGAAAUCCUGGAGCUCAACUCCAGAACUGCCUUUGAUACUGGCGAUCUCGAGUCCGGGAGAGGUGAGUGGAACUGCGAGUGUAGAGGUGAAAUUCGUAGAUAUUCGGAAGAACACCAGUGGCGAAGGCGGCUCACUGGCCCGGUACUGACGCUGAAAUACGAAAGCGUGGGGAGCGAACAGG
rnacentral:rRNA from 1 species